rnacentral:misc_RNA from 1 species
CUCGCUCAUCGCCCUUUCGAACAAUUAUUCAUCUUGCCCCUUUGUGUAGUCUCUUCUCAUUCUAACCAGGGGAAGGGAAGCAUUGAUACAGAGGGGGAGAGAGACAGAAAGAGAAGAUGUUUUUCCACAUAGUAUUGGAAAGGAAUAUGCAAUUGCAUCCACGCUACUUCGGCCGCAACCUUCGCGAUAAUCUGGUAUCCAAGCUCAUGAAAGAUGUCGAGGGCACUUGCAGUGGUCGGCAUGGAUUUGUGGUGGCAAUAACCGGCAUAGAGAACAUUGGGAAAGGGUUGAUCCGAGAUGGAACAGGAUUUGUGACAUUUCCAGUGAAGUACCAGUGUGUUGUGUUCAGGCCGUUUAAAGGAGAGAUUCUGGAAGCUGUUGUUACCAUGGUAAACAAGAAUUUUGGCAGAUGGGAUUUUUUGCUGAAGCUGGACCAGUUCAAAUUUUUGUUUCAAACCAUGUAAGUUUUGCAUUUUACUUCUUUGUUUUCUGCUAGAGGAUUGUGAGCCUUCCUCAUUGCCUUGUAUUACGAGAAUGCUUUCUUCCCUCAAUGCUUUUGUAUGUGUUUGCCUUUUGUUCAUUUAGAAAUGUAGGAACUACUUGAUAAAAAUUAAUGUUAGCAUUUAAGCUAUACUAUGUUUUGAGCACAAAAGAAUUGAAAUCUCCUAAUUUAUGGAAGUACCAAUUUUUGAAAUAGUUGUAUGGACCUUAAAAUUUGCAUAAACCCAAAAGUCAGGGCAGAAAGAAUUUGGUUUUUCCUUAGCAAUUAAGGAUUUUGCCUGGUUCAAGAAUUAAGGUGAAAAUCCCUGCUUAUUGUUGCUGAAAUCCUUGCUUAUUGUCAUUCUUAAGUUUUCCACUUUUCAAAUAUGUCCAUUCAAAAUUUCAAAUGAUAAAAACUUACGAAGUUUUCAUUUGUUUGCUCUAUGGGAUGGAUGGAAUAUUAUAACGAAAGUAAUUUUUUUCAUGGGGAGAAUGAAUAUCGUAAGGAAAAGUUGGACUGUAAUUGAUGCAUGAUUGUCUUCUAGAGAUUUUCUGACUACUUAUUUUAGGAAGAAAUU